UACGUAGGGUGCAAGCGUUAAUCGGAAUUACUGGGCGUAAAGCGUGCGUAGUCGGUUAUCUAAGUCGGAUGUGAAAUCCCCGGGCUCAACCUGGGAAUUGCAUUCGAUACUGGAUAGCUAGAGUUCGGCAGAGGGAAGUGGAAUUUCGGGUGUAGCGGUGAAAUGCGUAGAUAUCGGAAGGAACACCGGUGGCGAAAGCGGCGUGCUGGACUC
rnacentral:rRNA from 1 species